UUUUUCGAGACAGGGUUUCUCUGUGUAGCUUUGCACCUUUCCUGGAUCUCGCUUUGUAGACCAGGCUGGCCUUGAACUCACAGAGAUCCUCCUGGCUCUGCCUCCCAAGUGCUGGGAUUAAAUGCGUGCGCCACCACCGCCCGGCCGGCCAGGGUAUUUCUUGAAGACACACUUUGCGGAGGGAAGUGGCAGACAGACGAUGUGCAGAGCAGAGAGCGUGGACGCUAACAGGCAAAACACAGCCUCCACUUCCAUGAAGACCUCUCUCCCUCAUCCCUCCAACACUACCUCAGUCAGGGCAGCAAAUGGAGACUUUGUGAACACGUUUCCUGUCCCGUGCUGACUUUCCCAGGCCACCCGAGGCACAAACUGGCCACCUUGGACUGCUCUUGUGUGACUGCUACAGUUUUUGUACCAGCUAAAAAUUCAAAAGCUUCUCCUUGAAGAAAAUUGAUUUUCUAGGCUUUGUAACAGAACUGGAAACUCUAGUGAUCCAAAAAAGCCACCACCAAGGGAGGGCUCCACUCAGCUUCAGGCGCAGCUUCUACUGCUUGCCUGAGUGGUCCCUGUUCCUGUUGCCCCUGCAAGGGGCAGCAGGCAGUUGAGUCAAUGCCCUCCACUGUAGCGCAUUCAAGUGAGAGUUGAAGAGAAGCUAUGCUUUCCCCUCUGAUACUCAUUCUGAAAGGCUGCUUCACAAUGGCCAUUCUUGACCUGGAACUUGGUGGUUACACCCCGCAAGCUCUGGGUUGCAUUACCUCAUGCUACACCGUGCUAAAUGUUUGGUGUGUGCAAGCUCUUUGGGACCUCACAACACCCCCAGGAGGUGAUAACGAUAUUGCCCCCAUAUUACAAGGGAGGAAACUGAGGCUCAGGCAACUUGAAGUAACUUUCCCAAGCCCUAUAACUUAUGAGCAGUGACUCCAAAAUAAAAAUUCUUGCCUGCUCGGCUCACUGCAAGCUAA